AAAACCUGUUAGCAAGUGGCAGCUAACACCACAGGCAAUGGGUAUUUAAUUUAUUGCACCUAUAAAAACCCUUUGAAAAAACCUCCAACAACGCAAUGUACUAACAGGUACAUUCAUAGUAACGUAAUAUUUAUGUAUUCUGGUCAUUUUCAGAAUUGUCAGAACUGUUUUGGUGGGGUUGUAUUGAUUUUACUGAGCACAAUGUUCACUAUUUCCUUCAACAGCAACUUCAUAAAAGCAGCAGACUUCAUUAAAGCCAACAAGGGCAGCACGGCCGAACAGAGGGUGUCUUCGGGUCCAAGUUGAAAGUCAAAGUUGACCAACCAAAAAGCCAAUCAAGCUGUCUAUCCAUCCAUCCAUCCAUUUCCUGCCGCUUGUCCCUAACGGAAUCAAGCUAAUACUUGGUUGAUACCAGUCAUACCAAAGACUAUAAAAAUGGGACCCAUUACCUCCCUGCUUGGCACUCAGCAUCAAGGGUUGGAAUUGGAGGCUAAAGCACCAAAAUUGAUUCCCGGACGUGGCCACCACUGCUGCCCACUGCUCCCCUCACCUCCCAGGGGGUGAUCAAAUGCAGAGAUUAUUUUUGCUACACCUAGUGUGUAUGUGACAAUCAU